CUUCGGUUUCCUAACUUCACAGGUGCACGCAGAAGUUUGAUAUUUUCCAAAUGUAGCACGUGAUGUGUAUUUUCUUUAGUUAAUAUUGUCCUUUUGCCCUUUGUUUUAACGAACCAAACAUAUAUGCCAGGCAGACACUGUUCCAACAUUUUAUGUUAUCACAUGCUGUACUUGAUUGUAGGAUCAUAAUGUUGCAUAAUCAUAAUUGAUCUUCCAGCACUUUUCUCUUCAUUUUGGC
rnacentral:lncRNA from 1 species